CCAGUUACAGUUCCAAUACCACAGAGGACCUCUCCUCACAGGCAAAAUCUCCGUCAACCUCAUUUGGUACGGCAACUUCAAACCUUCCCAGAAAGCCAUCGUCACUGACUUCAUCACCUCCCUCUCCUCUCCCAAACCCCUCACACCCCAACCAUCGGUUGCCACGUGGUGGAAAGCCACCCAAAAAUACUACAAAACCUCAUCCCCCAAACUCUCCCUCUCCCUUGGCUCUCAGAUCCUCGAUCAAAACUACUCCUUCGGCAAAUCACUCACCAGCGAUCAAAUCCUCAAGCUCGCAUCCAAGGGUCCUCAGAGAAACGCCAUCAACGUGGUUCUCACGUCUGCUGACGUGGCAGUGGAAGGCUUCUGCUCCAGCAGGUGCGGGACUCACGGCUCCUCCAUGGGGGCGCGCGUGAACGGGAAGAGGUACAAGUUCGCUUACGUGUGGGUGGGUAACUCCGAAAGCCAGUGCCCGGGGCAAUGCGCGUGGCCAUUCCACCAACCCAUUUACGGUCCCCAGAACCCAGCUCUGAUUGCGCCGAACAACGAUGUUGGUGUUGAUGGCAUGGUCAUCAACGUGGCUAGCCUCUUGGCUGGCACUGUCACUAACCCUUUCGGGAACGGAUACUUCCAGGGACCCAAAGAGGCUCCUCUCGAAGCUGCCUCCGCCUGCACCGGUGUCUACGGGAAGGGCGCCUACCCUGGCUAUGCAGGGAACCUCUUGGUGGACCCCACAACCGGUGCCAGCUACAACGCCAAUGGUGUCAACGGAAGGAAGUAUCUUUUGCCAGCUCUCUUUGACCCUAAAACCUCUGCUUGUUCAACCAUAGUCUAAAACCACCACUCAGCUUUCACUUUUCACCCUCUUUAGCUGUUAGGCAACACGAACAUUCUUUCAUUUCUUCAUUCAUUCGGCCAUGAUACAAGAGAAUUAUAGUGUUAACUAGUACGAUGCUUAGUUAUAAUAAACUUUUAUAUUGAGAUGUAUUAGAAACUAUAGCACAAUUAUAUUAAUAAUAUUUUGAUUGCUUUUUAUUUUAAUGAGUGUUUGCAGAAAUUAUAGCUGUCCACUUUACAAACAUGAAUAACUAAAAAGGUAGCCAACAGAAAACCUAAAUAAAUUUUCCCCACGGAAAAUGAGUUAAUAAAAAAAUAUACAUGUUUCAAAAUAAAGUAAGAAAAAAAUUAACCAUUACAAUGGCAACCACAUCAUUUAAAAAGCACACAAUCAAAUAUGAAAGCUUUUUUUUUUUAUCAUAUUGGGCUAGAUUUAAAACCUUAUUAUCAAAAUGAUGGGAUAGAUUUUUAAAACAUUGCGAGUUUGGAGAGAUAGUAUAAAUGUUACAUGACUUUAUUACUUUAUUGUGAGAAAGUAAUCAAUGACAAUUUUUUAUCACAUAAAAAAAAGUUGUGUUAAUGUGAUAAUUUUAGUCUAUGUUAAGUGGUGUUAAGGUGAUAUAAUUUGAAUUAUAUGUAAUUGACACGAUUUUAGUAAUAAGUAUAAAGUUAUCUCAACCUAACAUGAUUUUGGUUAAUAAAUUUUUUUUAAAGUUACACUUUAAGUUUUAUCACUUUAAUAAGACUUGAGUUUUAGUAUUUUUUUUUUUAAAAAAAAGUGUUUAUUUCUUUAUUUUUUUAAAAAUGGAAUUAUUAAUUUAACAAAUUUUAUAAAAUUAAGAAAAAAAAAUAAUUGAAAAAUGGUGUUAAAACCCUAAAUAUAAAAUGUAAAUUAAAAGCUUAAAAUAUAUAAAAAUGCCAAAAAAUAAUAAAAGUUAAACGGUUUAUUUUUUGAAAAUUUUGUAAACCCAAUUCUCCUUCGGAUAUUGGUUGUUGCAUUCCUUAUCUCAUUUUUAACGCGUUUCAAUCUGAACUCUAUCAAAAGUUAAGAUCAUAUGAAGUUUUUUCAUACAAAACUUUAUAAAAAUCAUCAAUUUCUUUCCUAUCCUGAUUUCUUUUACAAAAAUUUCUUAAUUUUAUACAAAUUUUCAAAUUAAUAAUUCAAUUAAUUAUUUCAAUUUUUUAAAAACCAAAAGAAAACAAACAUUUUUUUCAAAAAAUAAAUUCAGUGAAAUUGAAAGUGUAUCCUUAAAACAAAAUUCGUUAAUCAAAAUCGUACCUCCUUACAACAACUCCACUUUGAUAUGGUCAAAAUCAUGUCACCUAACAUGACUUACUGACAAUGAAGUCGUGUCACAUUGACACAACUUCUUCCAACUCAUAAUUUUUAAAACCAACCACAUUUCGAUAGUAAGCAUGUAAAAUUGUCCUAACAUAGUAAAAAAAACAAAUUAUGAAUAGUGAAAUUUUGUCUAAAAUGACUUUAUAAAAAGAUCGUACAACUUUGUUGAGAUUUGUAGUAUAACUUUAAUAAUUUUAAGUUUUUUUUUUCAUUAAAGGUAGAAGUUAUGUUUGUAAACAUCAUCUUAAGGUUUUUUCCUUUCAAAAAUGGAAUUAAAACAUGAUUUUAGAAUGUUUAUUUUUAUUUUAAAUUUAAUUAUAAAAUUCAUGAUUAAUACAUCAUUUCGUUAAUCUUCUUUACGUCACCUUCAGUGAAAACCAACUCCACAUUAGAACAGGAAAUCAACCAGAGAGAGUGUUCCUUGAGUAGUGAUCAACCUGAAAAAUGCACGUGGUUUCGAUUUCAAAAUGAAAACAUACUAUUGUUCUGCAAAUAAACUAAUCAGAAAAAUGAAAAGCAAUCUUGAGAAACUAAACAGAAGAAAGGAAAGAUAGAUGGAGCUUCAACUAAGAGAUGAAGAUUUUCUAGGGCUUGAGAUGCCUCCUCCGAAACUACGAAAGUGUGUAAAAAACAUUAAUGCCUCAUUCGAAACGAAACUGAAAAUAGUGGGAAACAAAAAACUUUCCUGCGACUCAAUAAAAAAUUGUGGAGAGAUAUCAGGAUUUUCCAAACAUCUGGUACUUGCGUGUUUAAUGAAGGUUAUUAUAACCUCUAAUAAAAAACCCCUCUUAAAAUUAAUUUUUUAGUGAUUAUUAACACAAAUUUAGUUUUUGUUUUCUAGGUUUUAGUUGACUUCAUGUUAGUAAGCACAAUUUUAAUAUAUUGUAAUACAUACUAAAUUACAGUAUUUGGAGUUAAUUUUUUGUCAUGUUUAGAACUUAAAAGUACACAAUAUUAUUGAAUAGAUAUAAAAAAGUUAUAUAUGAGAGUUUGUGUUAAUAUUUUUUGUUUUUAUUUUUGUGUGAGUAUUGUUUUUGUUAUAAUUCUUAUUAGGUAAGUCUUUGUUGUGUUGGUGUGGUAAGUGCUAGAAUAUUACGUGGAGGCUUGAAUUUCCUUUUCUAUGCUAUGACCAUGUACGUACUUUUUGUUAUUAUUAUCUUCCAUCAGUGUGGUUCUAUUAGUUUAUAAAUGCCUUUGAAUUGUGUACUUGGUAUUUUGUCAUGGAAGGGAUGCCAAAUAUAUUUGAUCGAGAUGGAAUAAUAUUAUACCUGUAAGGAACUUGUGAAAAUUGAUAUUUUCCAAGCUGGUUGUGACGAUAAUCCAUACAUUCAUAUAAUGGAAAAGGUUGAAAACUAGAGUAAUCCAUCAUAUUGUUUUUGAUGUAGAUGUAUAUUUGAUGAAGAGCCAACAAUUUUCCUCUAUUUUUUUAGUAUUGAGUGCUAAGGAUUUGUUUUUUGUUUUUCUAGGCAUCAUGCUAAAUAACCUUUUCAUGAACUUUAAAGAUCCAAUGAGCUCCUCAAUGUAAGCGCUAGAGGUCCAUAAACGCUAUUUGGGCUAUUUCUUGAGAUCUUCAUGAAGUAAGCACAAUUUUUAGAAUACUCUUCCAAAGGAGUUAAACUUCUUUAUAAUGACUUGGAAUCCGCAAAAAAAAAUGCUUGAAUGUUUUCAUUCUCCUUCAUGUUAAACAACUUAUAUUGGAGAGUCAAAAGAAUAACUUUAUUUCUCUUACUUCGUGUGUAUAACUAGUGUGUUCCACAUCUUUACACAUUUAAGUGCAUGAAUUUUUGCAUAUUCAUCUUUAGAGAUGUCACACAUGAGUAUUAGACACAUAGUUUUCAUUCUGUUAUUACAGUUACAUAUCACUGUUAUAUAUACAUGUAUCCCAUGCAUCCCAUGCAUCCUUCUCAACACAAUAACUUAUAUAUUCAGAUAUACUUUUCUCUUUCUCCUUUCUUUUAACAUGGUAUCCAGAGCUACCUCUUUUCCAUGACCUCUUCCGCUACCUCUCCUUCUACCCCUCCUUUAUCACCUUCUUCCUCUAUUUCUUCUCCUCCUUUGUUGCCAAUGGCGUCUCCUUCCUUACGCCAUUUUUCUAGUCCGAUUACCCUCAAACUUACAACUGAAAAUUUUAUGAUUUGGAAACAACAAAUUUUUGCUACUUUUCGUGGUCUUGAUCUCCUACAUCUCCUUGAUGGUACUCAUAUUCCAUAUGAGUUUCUCCCAUCUAAUGAUCAGGAUCAAGAACCCACCAUCAACCCAUUUUUUCUCCAUUAUCAUAAGCAAGACCAGUUUAUCGUCACCUGGUUGCUGGCCUCCAUGUCCUCCUCCAUCUUAACCAAAAUGGUUGGUUUAGACUCUUCUGCUGCUAUAUGGACACACUUAUCCACAUAUUACGCCUCCCAUACAAGGGCCACCAUCAAGAAACUUUGCCUUCUUCUUCGCACACCCAAGAAUUACAGAACCGUUGCAAACUACCUUUUUGAUAUCAAAAAGACUGUUGAUUCUCUAUCUGCCUUUGGUGCUUCCAUUUCUAACGUCGAACACAUAGAUGUCAUUCUUAAUGGUCUAUCGGAGGAAUAUGAUGAUUUCAUCAUUGCGGUUCUCUCGCGUUCUGAUCCCUACACUGCUGACGAACUGGAGUUUUUACUCCUUGCUCAAGAAGAAAGGUUUGAGAAACAUAAACUCAUUCAAAAUUCCGUCAUUCAAGCCAAUUAGGUUUCCACGCAAUGGUUUUCACCUCGUCCCACCAAGAAACCCAAUUUUCACACCAAAUCUUACUACGGUGGUCACAACCAGAGUCACCCAUCGUAUCCAAACUUUGUGCCUUUCUUUUCUGGACCAAGACCUAUCACUCGUCCUCUUUUCCGCCAUUCUGCACCUUGGAAUUCAAGUAAACCCCAUUGUCAUAUCUGCCACAAACAAGGGCACACUGUUGAUACCUGCUGUCAUAGGUAUGAUCCUCCUAUUGCUUGUUCGAUUACAGCUAACAUUUCUCAAUCUUCCAUCUCAGUCGGUGAUGAUUCUGCUCCAUCUAUUCUGGGUGCUCCAUCGACCAUCAAAGAUCCUCUUGGUACCCCAAUAGUGAUGCUACCAACCAUGUCACUAGCGACCCAUCUGUUUUUCACAACAAAUUAUCAUAGCUCCGAAUCUUUAAAGGUUGGCAACGAUCAAGGUAUGAAUAUUAUACACACUAGCUCUACUUUCUAUAUUGCACCACACACACACAUAAAGUUUCUUCUACAUCAUCUGUUACACGUACCACAUAUCACCAAAAACUUGAUUAGUGUUGCUCAAUUUACAAAAGAAAAUAAUGUUUAUUUUGAAUUUUAUCCUCACUCUUGUUUUGUUAAACAUCAGGACACUCAUCAGAUUCUCAUUCAAGGAAUAGUUAGAUAUUGUCUAUAUGUUUUUCCUUCUUCCCCUGAUUCACUCUCUUACACCGCUAAUCAUGCUUCAUACAAACCGAAUGUUCCUCCCUUACAACUCUAGCAUAACAGGCUUGGGCACAACAGUUUUGCUAUUGUUCAGCGUGUUUUAAAAUCUUGUAAUAUACAAUAUAACUCUCAGACUCAAUUUUGUAAUGCAUGUGUGAUCGAUAAGACACACCAACUUCCUUUUCAUGCUUUUGUUAACAGUUACACUCCACCUUUACAAUUGGUUUUUGGGGACCUUCACCUGUAUGUGCCUCCAAUGGUUCACGCUAUUAUAUCUCUUUCCUUAAAUGAAAGGGGGUCACCAUUUUCAAUAUCAUCUAUGGCCUCCCCUUGUUUUUUUCCGUGUAAAAUGACAUACCAAUGUUCUGACAUAGGAUCUUUGAUGUAGAAAACCUGAGAUGCUUGUUGAACCAUUAUAAAUGGCCCAUCUCGAUACCCUAUCUUUCGAAAGUCCACUAGUGUGAAUCCUGAUUCAGCAAUAAAUGGAACAGAAAACUUACUAUAGCCAACCUCCCAUAUCUCUUCUAUAAACUCAUAGUAUGCCAUUGAUCCAAGUACAAAAUUUGUAUCUUUCGAAGUGGAAAAUUGCAUUGACUCAGUUUCAAGAGUAACACUAGAAUUUUGAACUGUAUUCUUUUCAUCCAUAGACUUCGUGUAAAAUAUACAAUUGUUUACUUUGUACGCAGUACAAGAAAUGACAACAAACUUCAAUCCAACAACCAACAAGGUCAAGGUCUCUGAUGUCGUUGAAUCCUUUAACACCUCGUCUUUAAACCAAGGCAUGAAAGUUCUAUUAUGUUCCAUCAAGACCCAUUUCUCUGCUUGUCUUGGUUUAUAUGCCUUCAUAAUGGCUUUAUGAGCUUCUAUGUAAGGUAUAACUUCAUCUGUGUUAUUGUUGAACAAGCUGCUUUGAUGUCUUCAAAUCCAAGAGGAAAGCUUGAAGCCCUUGCUGCUGGGUGUGUGUGUGUUGUCUAGUUGUUUGAAACUUGUUAAUUCACUCCUUAAGUCGAUCCAAGUUCAUUUGAAUCUUAAACCUUUUGAAAAGAUGUAUCUUCUAAAAGGCUGUCAAAAAUUCAACAGGUUGUUUUACCUUAGCUGUUUUUGAAAAACUUGGUUGACUUUGUUGUCAAACCAAAACAAUCGAUUGUUUCGACAAAACAACCGAUUGUUUUCCUGCAAGCCUUAACAAAAUUCUGUUAAGCGGUUUUAAUAUGUUUUAAAUGAUCCUAACUAACUUGGCUCCUUUAUUAAAUGCUUUUGACCACUUGGUGGGUCUAUAUAAAUGUGGUUUUACGCUCCUAAUCUUGGAGUAACAGAAAGAGUUUAUCAAAACAGUUUUUCCAAGAUUUGAAAGAGCUUUGGAUCAUUCUUAAGUGUGUGGAAUAGGAUUGGGUUGUAAUUCUGAACUUUAAGCUUUGUAAUACCCAGGUGUAUUUUAUUCCUUUCUUCCUUGAUUACUGUAUUUCUGUAGUUGUGUUGCCAAGGAGUGUUGUGUGUUCUUGAGGUGUUCAAGAUCAACAUUCUUGGUAUGGUUUGCCAAAGGUAGUGUGUUUCAUGAGGGGUUCAAGGUCACCACUGUGGUGUGUGGUGUUUGUAAUCUGGUUUUGAUUGCAUAGUGGAAUACCCAGUGGUUUUUGGGGACUGGAUGUAGCUCUUGGUGUAAGAGUGAACCAGUAUAAAUUGCUUGCGUGCUUAUAUCUUACCCUUAACUCUUUAAAUUUUGUUUUUAAGUUGUUUUUAUAAACUGCUCAUAAAAACAACCAUUUGUUUCGACAAAACAACCGAUUGUUUUUCUGAUAUCAUCUUAAAACAGUUUUGGUUCUUUGUUUUCUUGAUUCUUUUCUCUGUAAUUCAGCAUUGAUUUUUCAUUAUACCUUCAAAGUUUGCAAAAAUCCCUCUUAAACAAUUCACCCCCUCUCGUUUAAGGCCAUAUAUUCUAACAAUUCAAUAUAUACAAAUGUGCUUGCAAGACUUUUGAUCGAGAUUUGCUUACAAUAUUCACACCACGUAAACAUUUACUUGUAGAACGCUUGUGGUGCCAUGAAUUAGCUGGAAGACCUAUUGGAUUUUCUUUUGACAUGUACUCUGAACAAAAUUGAAUACUUUCUUCAGCUAUGUAGUUUUCAAUCAUUGAAGCUUCUAGACGAUAAUGAUUUUUCACAUAACCUUUCAAACUUUUCAUAUACUGCUCAACAAGAUGCAUCCAUCUUAAGUACACUGGUCCACACAAUCUAACCUCUCUUACCAUAUGCACAACUAGAUGAACCAUGAUGUCAAAAAAAGAUGGAGGAAAAACCAUCUCCAAUUCACACAACAUAACAACAAUUUCAUCUUCAAGUUCAUCUAGUUUUAAUGGAUCAAUGACUUUACAACAGAUGAAAGAGAAGAAUGAGCACAAAUGGGUUAUGGUAUGUCUAACAUUUUUUAGUAAGAUCCCACGAAUAACUACCGGUAGCAACUGUUGCAUCAAGAUGUGGCAAUCAUGAGACUUCAACCCAAUUAAUGUCAAAUCUUGCAUUGACACUAGGCUCUUCAUAUUUGAGGAAUGUCCUUGUGGAACUUUCACACCUUUUAGACAUUGAAAAAAACUUAUUUUUUCAUAUUUUGACAUGGUGAAACAGGUUGGGGGCAAAUAUGUACACUUACCCAUUUCUAUGGGUGCCCGCUCGCAUCUUAUGUUCAUCUCAAUCAAAUCUAAACGAGCAUUUAGACCAUCCAUCAUCUCAAUCAUAUGUUAAGAAGUGUACCAAUUAAGUUAUCACAUACAUUCUUCUCAACAUGCAUUACAUCUAUACAAUGGCUAACUUCUAACCUCGACCAAUAGGAAAGAUCAAAGAAGAUUGAUUUUUUCUUCCAAAUGUUUGUCACAGAUGACUUUUUUUUCGACUUAUCGAAGGUAUGAUCUAUGUUAUUUACCUUUUCGUACCACAACACCGGUUAAUAGAGUUGGUGGACUUGUUGAACAAGAUGCUUUGAUGUCUCCAAAUCCAAGAGGAAAGCUUGAAGACCUUGCUACUAGGUGUGUGUGUGUGUUGUCUAGUUGUUUGAAACUUGUUAAUUCACUCCUUAAGAUGAUCCAAGUUCAUUUAAAUCUUUAACCUUUUGAAAAGAUAUGUUUUCUGAAAAGCUGUCAAAAAUUCUACAGGUUGUUUUACCUUAGCAGUUUUUGAAAAGGUUUUGAAGAACUUGGUUGACUUUGCUGUCAAACCAAAACAAUCGAUUGUUUCGACAAAACAACUGAUUGUUUUCCUGCAAACCUUAACAGAAUUCUGUUAAGCGGUUUUAAUAUGUUUUAAAUGAUCCUAACUGACUUGGCUCCUUUAUUAAAUGCUUUUGACCACUUGGUUGGUCUGUAUAAAGGUGGUUUUACGCUCCUAAUCUUGGAGUAACAGAAAGAGUUUAUCAAAACAGUUUUUCCAAGAUUUGAAAGAGCUUUGGAUCAUUCUUAAGUGUGUGAAAUAGGAUUGGGUUGUAAUUCUGAACUUUAAGCUUUGUAAUACCCAGGUGUAUUCUAUUCUCUUCUUCCUUGAUUACNNNNNNNNNNNNNNNNNNNNNNNNNNNNNNNNNNNNNNNNNNNNNNNNNNNNNNNNNNNNNNNNNNNNNNNNNNNNNNNNNNNNNNNNNNNNNNNNNNNNGUUGUGUUGCCAAGAAGUGUUGUGUGUUCUUGAGGUGUUCAAGAUCAACAUUCUUGGUGUGGCUUGCCAAAGGUAGUGUGUUUCUUGAGGGGUUCAAGGUCACUACUUUGGUGUGUGGUGUUUGUAAUCUGGUUUUGAUUGCAUAGUGGAAUACCCAGUGGUUUAUGGGGACUGGAUGUAGCUCUUGGUGUAUGAGUGAACCAGUAUAGAUUGUUUGUGUGCUUAUCUCUUACCCUUAACUCUUUAAAUUCUGUUUUUAAGUUGUUUUUAUAAACUGCUGAUAAAAACAUCCGAUUGUUUUCACUAAACAACCGAUUGUUUUUCUGAUAUCAUCUUAAAACAGUUUUGGGUAUUUGUUUCCUUGAUUCUUUUCUCUGCAAUUCAGCAUUGAUUUUCAUUAUACCUUCAAAGUUUGCAAAAAUCCCUUUUAAACAAUUCACCCCCCAUCUCAUUUAAGGCCAUAUAUUCUAACAAUUGGCAUCAAGAGCUUGGUUCUUGAAAGUUAUUCAAGUUUUGAUCCUAAAUCUUUGUUAAAUGGUUGAAAAGUUUUCUUUUGGGGAGGGUGCCUGUUUAAGCAAACCACCUUUGUUCUAUGGUAUGAAAUAUGAAUUGUGGUGCAUAAGAAUGAAAUUCUUUGUUGAAUAUAUAGAGAGAAAAAUCUGGAAUGUUAUUACAAAUAGCUAUCUCAUGCCUAUAUCUGAAAAUGUUUCUUCUGAAAGAGAACAUCUUGAUUGUGUAGUUAUGAACAUCAUUGUAUCUGCACUUGAUUCUAAUGACUUUCUCAAAGUUUCAGAAUGUAGUUCUUCCAAAGAAAUGUGGAAUACCCUUGAAGAGUAUCACAAGAAUCCAAGGAGUGCCUUGAUGGACAAAGAAGAAUCUUCUGCUGAAUCUUUCUCUUCAAAAUCCAAAAAGGAGGUUUGGAUCAAGUCAAGCAAGAAGGAAAAGAAAGCAAAAUAAAAAAGAAGCCAAUCUGUGUUUGAUGGCCAAAGAAGAAGAUGAUGCAAGUAGUGUAAGUUCUUGUACUUCUUUAAAUGCUGAAAAUUAUAGUAAACUUCUUCAAGCCUUUAAUGAAACUCAUAAGGAAGCUAAUAGGUUGGCCCUUUUAAAUAAACGGUUGAAAGGUUUAAACAAAUCAUUGGAAAAUAGAGUCAAGACUUUGGAAGAAGAGUUGAACCAUUCAAAAACAGAUUUUGAAAGUUUGGAAAUGAUUUACAAAAACUCUUCUUGCAAGUGUGAUUCUAGCUUUUGUGAAAAUUGUGAAUCACUUGAAAAGAAAGUCCACUACCUUUUAAAAACCAUGGACAAGUUUUCCAAAGACCAAUCCAAUCUUGAAACUGUUCUUGCUUCUCAUAAAUGUGUUUUUGGCAAGGCUGGGUUGGGGUUUAAUCCAAACAGUAAGAACAAAGCUGUUUCAAAACCCUUUUCAAGUUUCUUUGAAAAACAACCUGUUUUAUCGAAACAACCGAUUGAAAUUUGUCAUUACUGCAUGAAAAGGGGCCACACUAUUAGAUUCUGCAAAGUAAAAAGGUUUUCUGUUCCUAAAGGUAUUUUGAAAUGUGUUCCUAAGGUUUCUAAGGUUCCUACUAACAUCAUUGGACCCAAAUUCAUAAGGGGACCAAAUCUUGCUUCUUAAUCUUUUGUUGUAGGUAUCCUUGGCAGCCAAGAAUCAGUUUUGGACUUGAAGAGUGACUGCUAAAGGGAAAACCAUCAAAAGCAAAGUUUGUCUAUAUGCCUGUACUUUCAAUUGUAUAUGUCUUGCAAGGUUCUUUGAAUGUCAAGAGACAUCCUUGGCACAUGCAUAGUGUUGAUCAAAAGAGAAACCUCAAAGAAAGUAUGUGUGUUUGAUGAAAUCAUUCAUAGUGGUCAAAGUUCUACAAAGGUUUAUGUAGAAGAAGAUGAGCAGAACAUCAUUGGAUGCAAAUGGGUUUUUCAUAAACAAGUUGUAUGAAUCUGGAGUAAUUACAAGGAACAAGGCAAGGCUUGUGGCUAAAGGUUAUAAUCAAGAAGAAGGCAUAGAUUAUGGUACAACCUUUGCUCUAGUUGCAAGAUUAGAGGUUGUAAGGUUGUUGUUGGCCUAUGCUUGUUUGAGUGGAUUCAAAUUGUUUCAAAUGGAUGAUAAAAGUGAUUUCCUUAAUGGAAUCAUCAAUGAGGAAGUCUAUGUUGAAGAACCAUCGGGCUUUGAAGAUCAUCAACAUCCUAACCACGUAUACAAGCUGAAAAAGGCCUUGUAUGGUCUUAAGCAAGCUCCAAGGCAGUGUGAAGAAAGAAUAUUUCUACCAAAUCCACCUCUUGAGUAAUCAUUUGACCAACUUGAAUUGCUGGAUGAAGAAAAGAUAAGGGGAGAAAUUGUGGUCUCCUUGCUAAAAAUUUUGGGGUCUAUGGUACUUUGAUUCUACUGCUAUCAUAGCUCUGAUACACCAUAGAUUUUUGCUGCAAUUUUGAUAUGGUAUCACAGGUUUGUUGCUGCAAUAGUGUUGCUACACAUACUGGUAUUCUGGUUUUUCUUAAUCCUGAUUUUAUCCCUUCUUUCAUUCUAUUUGAGAAGACAAAUAGGGGGAGAAUGGUGUGGUUUUAUGUGUUGUAUUAUUGCAGCUACAUUUGGUGUUAUCUGGUUUUAUCAUGAUUUAAAUUCUGCUAUUGCCAUGCUCUUAUUCACCAUAGUUCUGUUGCACACAAGUCUCAUUUUGGCACUAGUUUUUAUGGUUAUUUGACUAGUUUUUCUGCUUAAAGACUUAUGCAGAAAACUGGUUUUGUGUGCCUUGGUAUCCUGCUAGUAUACUUGCUUUGUAUAUGCACAAAUUCUGUUUUGUAGGACCUUUCAAGUUCAAAAACAACAACACAAACAAACCAGGGAUUUGUCUUCAUCAAAUAGGGGGAGAUUGUUGAACAAGAUGCUUUGAUGUCUCCAAAUCCAAGAGGAAAGCUUGAAGACCUUGUUUUUGGGUGUGUGUGUGUUGUCUAGUUGUUUUGAAACUUGUUAAUUCACUCCUUAAGAUGAUCCAAGUUCAUUUGAAUCUUUAACCUUUUGAAAAGAUGUGUUUUCUAAAAAGCUGUCAAAAAUUCAACAGGUUGUUUUACCUUAGAAGUUUUUGAAAAGGUUUUGAAAAACUUGGUUGACUUUGCUGUCAAACCAAAACAAUCGAUUGUUUCGACAAAACAACCGAUUGUUUUCCUGCAAACCUUAACAAAAUUCUGUUAAGCGGUUUUAAUAUGUUUUAAAUGAUCCUAACUAACUUGACUCCUUUAUUAAAUGCUUUUGACCACUUGGUUGGUCUGUAUAAAGGUGGUUUUACGCUCCUAAUCUUGGAGUAACAGAAAGAGUUUAUCAAAACAGUUUUUCCAAGAUUUGAAAGAGCUUUGGAUCAUUCUUAAGUGUGUGAAAUAGGAUUGGGUUGUAAUUCUGAACUUUAAGCUUUGUAAUACCAAGGUGUAUUCUAUUCCCUUCUUCCUUGAUUACUGUAUUUCUGUAGUUGUGUUGCCAAGGAGUGUUGUGUGUUCUUGAUGUGUUUAAGAUCAACAUUCUUGGUGUGGUUUGCCAAAGGUAGUGUGUUUCUUGAGGGGUUCAAGGUCACUACUUUGGUGUGUGGUGUUUGUAAUCUGGUUUUGAUUGCAUAGUGGAAUACCCAGUGGUUUCUGGGGACUGGAUGUAGCUCUUGGUGUAAGAAUGAACCAGUAUAGAUUGUUUGUGUGCUUAUAUCUUACCAUUAACUCUUUAAAUUCUGUUUUUAAGUUGUUUUUAUAAACUGCUCAUAAAAACAACCGAUUGUUUUUCUGAUAUCAUCUUAAAACAGUUUUGGGUAUUUGUUUCCUUGAUUCUUUUCUCUGCAAUUCAGCAUUGAUUUUCAUGCGCUUCUUCAAAAGACUCAGCUCCCACAUCACGAAUCAUGUCCUUCAAUCGAUCAUCAUCUACAUCAUCAUUUAUUGCAUCAUCCAUGUUAGACCUCACAUAUUCUUCAGUUACGGAAACACGUGGUAAAUUUAAUAAUUCACCAUGCCAUGUCCAAGUUGUAUAAGAUUGAAGAAACCCAUCACACAGAAGGUUCUUCAUGAUUAUCUUAACAUCCAGUAUCCUUCCAUUCAAACAGUUAACACACAGAUACCUAAUCUUUUCUCCAUCAUGACCAGUAUUAUUCGCGUUACGCUGCACAAAUUAUAUAAAUUCUUCUACUCCUCUUUCGUACUCAUCACUCAUGAGAACAAAAUUAAUCCAAUUUCAAUCCAUUAUAUUUUGUAAUAGUCAUUCAGGUGUUUUCUAAUAAGUGUUCUAUCUCACGCGUUUGCCGAGGGUCGAACACCCCCGGACUCUGUACCAUCGCGUAUCAAUUAUCGAGGGUCGAACACCCUCGAACUCAAUACCAACACAAUAAUUCUAUUCUAAACUAACAACUAACAUAAUAUAAAUUAAUAAUAAAUACAAAUUAAAUAAAUACUAAAUAAUAUAAAUUUAAAAAAUACAAAUUAUAAUAAAUAAAAAAUAAACAAAUUCAUAUGAUUAAAAAGAUCAAAAAAAUUUAAAACACCACCAACCUUGUGCGUGAAGGCAACAUUGGUGAAGAGUGGCACGGGACCGACAGCAACAGCGGACACAGCAGCAACAAAGGAGCAAAGUAAAACCCACACAAGAAGCGACAAGGGCAAUGAAACAGUACUUCGAGCAAUGUAAGAAAACAAACCAAGUAAGAGAAACGAAAAAGAUUUAUAAACCAUUGGUGAAGAAGAAAGAGAGCUUGAACAAACUUACAAUGGCACAACAACACAAUGAAGCUCGCAGAAGAAGAGAGGAACACCAGAGCAGGAACAGAGCAAAGCGCAAAGAAGAGAAAGAAAAUAUGAAAAUGUAAGUGGCGCGCUUUAGAGUUAGGGUAAAAAAUGAUUUAAGAAUGCAACUAUUUGUAAUAGUUGCAUUCUUAAAAUCAUGCAUUUUGAUUUAAGAAUUGCAUUAAUUUAAGAAUGCAACUAUUAAAAUAAUUACAUUCGUAAAUGAAGUUAAUUUAAAAAAUGUCACCACGUUUUAAAUAAAUGCAUUUAACCGUAAAAGCACAUUAAAUAAAUAUUCGUUGUUUUUUUAAUUUUCGGUUCCUUCACAUAAAAACUGUACAAAAGAAAUAUGUGAAGUAACGAACAUGCAUUUGAGAAAUUCAUGCCUGCAUGUUGAAAUUGGAAGGAUGGAUCAAUUGCAAAUAUUGUAGACCCCAUUAAUCAACGGUUCUCGAAAGGAAAUAAUGAGAUGUAUCCACAUUGGGUGAGUAUGUGUUCAAGAAUGGGUGAGUAUGUGUUCAAGAAGAUAGGGAUGUCAGACCAACCAUGGCUACUGUUGUACUCAUGCUUAAUAGUUAUUCUCUCACUCUCCCAUUGCCUUCAGAACCUACAUUUGUUGUGGAUAGUAGCACAAGAAGCUUUCCAAACAUGUUGGCAUGGGAGCAUAAUUAAAGGGAAAGUGGAUCGAGUGAAACCACAAACAAAUAAAGUCAAUAUUCAGUAAAUGAGGAGGCUUCAAUUAUUGAGUCAUACUCUAGCUAAUUUGAUAUAACAUGGGUAAUUUGAGACUUAAGUUACAUGUUUCUACGUAUAAUGAAAAAUUAAUUGUGCUUGUCUUGUUUUUUAAGGGCUUCCAAUCAAUGGAACUUUUUAAUUAAAAUUAUUCUUAUAGUAUAUUGAUAUUAACUUUAAGAUCAAUCCAUUUAACACUACAAAAAAACUAAUAUAUUAAGAUAGCAUAAAAUUUAACAUAUCAUUCAUAGUUGUUACCAUUAUAUAAGUUAUCUAAACUAAAAAUAUCAAACUCUUAUACUAAUAUUUUAACAUUAUGUGUAUCAUUAAUCACUCAGUCAAUGACAUAGUCUUUCUUGAAAUUGUUUUAUCACAUACAACUUAUCUCUUACGAAUGGAUAACUAAUACCAAUCAUAAGUUGUGUAUGAAAUUCACGACUUCAAUAUAAAAUAAUAUCAUUAAAGUUAGAUACGAGUGACACAAGUUCAAUUAUAUUAAUUUACACUAAGUCGUGUUUCAAUAAUAUGACUUUAAUUAUCAAUAAUCACUUAGUCAAGCAAAUUUGUGUCUCACUUUUUUUUAUUGUUUUUGAAACAAAAUUAUGUAUGUAUAACAUGAUUAUAAUAUGAUUAUAAUAUGGACCGACAUUAACAUAAAUACUGAAGUAGUGUUGGUACUAAAGGACUUCUUCAUAUGAAAAUAAAAAAAUUGUGAAACAACUUAUCCAUUUUAGUAAAUAAAAAAAGUUAUUCAUUAGAUUAAUAAUAAUAAUAAUAAUUGGUGCAAAACCUCUCUUGUGAGUGAUACUUGAAAGUUUAAUAUAUUUGUAAGGAAGUAAAUUUUCACCUUUAGUUAUUUAAGGACUGCAGUUCGAAUGGUUAGUCUCAAUAAGAAGCAAUUCUAAUCUAUCAUGGAUUUAUUAGAAGUGAUUUUUAUCGUGAUGACACUUCUAUACAGUUCAGACUCGGAUAGAUGAAUUUUUAGAAUACUUAACCAAGAGGCCGAUCCAUUGAUGGUCAUUGUAUUCCGUCCCAACUAUAAUCAGAAAAAAAGUGAUCUUGGCUUUCACAAAUUACAAAAUGAACACGGGUUUCUCCAAUGGUCCCGCUGGACAGCUAUCCAUGCCCUGUCUCCGCGUAACUUUGCGACUAUACAAAAACAUUUUUCAAUUAUUCGCUCCAAACUCCAAAACCUUGCCGCACAAUUUGGUUAACUAUAGCACAAGAGAAACGCGUUAUCAAGCUGCCACUUAGCUCCACUCCACUCACCAUCCCUCAUAAUUCUUCACUUCAUCAAUACGCCUUCUCCCUUCAAUCACCACCCUCACUAUANNNNNNNNNNNNNNNNNNNNNNNNNNNNNNNNNNNNNNNNNNNNNNNNNNNNNNNNNNNNNNNNNNNNNNNNNNNNNNNNNNNNNNNNNNNNNNNNNNNNCAAAUGGCCUCUCUUACAUCCUCAAGCCUUCUCCUCACUCUUCUUCUGGCUGUUUCCAUUCUUGGUUUCAGUUCAGCCAGGAAGCUCAGUGAGUCAGAUUCCCAGUUACAGUUCCAAUACCACAGAGGACCUCUCCUCACAGGCAAAAUCUCCGUCAACCUCAUUUGGUACGGCAACUUCAAACCUUCCCAGAAAGCCAUCGUCACUGACUUCAUCACCUCCCUCUCCUCUCCCAAACCCCUCACACCCCAACCAUCGGUUGCCACGUGGUGGAAAGCCACCCAAAAAUACUACAAAAC
rnacentral:lncRNA from 1 species